rnacentral:rRNA from 1 species
AGGUAAGCUACUAAGAGCGAAUGGUGGAUGCCUUGACUGGUAAAGGCGAUGAAGGACGUACUAGACUGCGAUAAGCUACGGGGAGCUGUCAAGAAGCUUUGAUCCGUAGAUUUCCGAAUGGGGCAACCCAAUGUAUAGAGAUAUACAUUACCUAUAUAGGAGCGAACGAGGGGAAUUGAAACAUCUUAGUACCCUCAGGAAAAGAAAUCAAUAGAGAUUGCGUCAGUAGCGGCGAGCGAAAGCGCAAGAGGGCAAACCCAGUGCUUGCACUGGGGGUUGUAGGACUGCAAUGUGCAAGAGGUAAGUUUAGCAGAACAUUCUGGAAAGUAUAACCAUAGAGGGUGAUAGUCCCGUAUGCGAAAAACAAACCUUAGCUAGCAGUAUCCUGAGUAGGGCGGGACACGAGGAAUCCUGUCUGAAUCCGGGUCGACCACGAUCCAACCCUAAAUACUAAUACCAGAUCGAUAGUGCACAAGUACCGUGAGGGAAAGGUGAAAAGAACUGAGGUGAUCAGAGUGAAAUAGAACCUGAAACCAUUUGCUUACAAUCAUUCAGAGCCCUAUGUAGCAAUACAGGGUGAUGGACUGCCUUUUGCAUAAUGAGCCUGCGAGUUGUGGUGUCUGGCAAGGUUAAGCAAACGCGAAGCCGUAGCGAAAGCGAGUCUGAAUAGGGCGCUUAGUCAGAUGCUGCAGACCCGAAACGAAGUGAUCUAUCCAUGAGCAAGUUGAAGCUAGUGUAAGAACUAGUGGAGGACUGAACCCAUAGGCGUUGAAAAGCCCCGGGAUGACUUGUGGAUAGGGGUGAAAGGCCAAUCAAACUUCGUGAUAGCUGGUUCUCUCCGAAAUAUAUUUAGGUAUAGCGUUGUGUCGUAAUAUAAGGGGGUAGAGCACUGAAUGGGCUAGGGCAUACACCAAUGUACCAAACCCUAUCAAACUCCGAAUACCUUAUAUGUAAUCACAGCAGUCAGGCGGCGAGUGAUAAAAUCCGUCGUCAAGAGGGAAACAACCCAGACUACCAGCUAAGGUCCCUAAAUCUUACUUAAGUGGAAAACGAUGUGAAGUUACUUAAACAACCAGGAGGUUGGCUUAGAAGCAGCCAUCCUUUAAAGAAAGCGUAAUAGCUCACUGGUCUAGUGAUUUUGCGCGGAAAAUAUAACGGGGCUAAAGUAAGUACCGAAGCUGUAGACUUGCACACAACUUAGAUUAUUUAAGUUUAGAAUA